rnacentral:rRNA from 1 species
UACGUAGGGUGCGAGCGUUAAUCGGAAUUACUGGGCGUAAAGCGUGCGUAGUCGGUUAUUUAAGUCGGGUGUGAAAGCCCCGGGCUCAACCUGGGAAUUGCAUUCGAUACUGGAUAGCUAGAGUUCGGCAGAGGGAAGCGGAAUUUCCGGUGUAGCGGUGAAAUGCGUAGAUAUUGGGAAGAACACCGAUGGCGAAGGCAGGUCUCUGGGCCACUACUGACGCUGAGAAGCGAAAGCAUGGGGAGCGAACAGG